rnacentral:lncRNA from 1 species
UGCAGCGCUCAGCCUCAGUAAUGCGGGUGGGUUUGGAGCUAAGCUGGCCCUGGCGGUGGUCAGGCUCAGCCCAAGCUGAGCACAGUGGGACCCUGUGUCUCACAGACACACCAAGAGCAUCUCGGGCUUUCCCUUUGCUUGUGCUGUUGCGUAUUUGUCCAGGGCAGUGUUUGCAUUGAGGUUGACCUGUUGCUUCUCAAGCGCAGCUCAGCCCCAAUCUUUGCGUUCUCACAGGGCUGGGGGAGCUCCAGCCUCUCCUUGGAAGCAGCGUGCUGCUGUGUGUCCCUCUUUUGGAAGCGGUUCUGCUUUGCAAGGGCAAAACCCCUUCCCCUCAGCUUUCUGAACACGAGCAGCUUUCUGUCUUCAGUUGCUUCUUGGAAUGGGAAAGGGAACCGAGCUCAGCCCCGCUCUGCUGCGCAGCAGAGCGCACACUUGGAGAGCUGCAUGCACUGUGCUGCUCACUGCCCCAUGUCCCCCCGUGUCACCUCGGGUUUGUGAAGGUGUUUUAAGGAUAAAACCAGAACACAGCUCUCACUGUAAGCACACACACGGGGACAGCACUGGAGUGGUGCAGCGUGUGGGUUUGUCACGAUAGCAAGUGUUGCAUCUUCACAGGAUUCUUGCACUAACAGUUUUCCAUCUGUUCUCUCUGUACAUGGCUGCACUUUACUGUUAGAAUUUGUUCCUCUGAUAAGUACUGGAUGUUGAAGCUGAGUUGUGUCCUUGUUAGGAAAUAGCAAAAGCAGCUCUCGUCUCUUGGUGUCUUUUACAAAAAAAAAAAAAAAGAAAAAAGGAAAAAAAAAAACCCAAAACCAACGCAUUGUUGCAUUUCUAGCACAAGGACCAGCUCUUGUACAUAAGCAUCGACAGGCCGAGUCACUUUCAAACACAGCGUCCUUUGCAGUGGCUUUAAGGUGCUUCCCCAGCAGUUCUCAUAGGGGUGAGGAGCUGCCAUCUCCCCCCAGCGUCAUGCUCGGGUUCGCUGGCGCAGAGCAGAGGUCGGUGUGUGUUUGUGGUCCCGUUGUGAAGUGCCCUCGUUGCUCUGGUCUCACCCCACGUCCCCUCACUGCCAUGUCUUUGCUGCAGACCGUAGUGCCCCACGCUGCACUGUGCCUUCAGCUUCUUUCAGUAACUCCCAUUUGGGUUUCUUGCAUCUUGCGUGGUCCCUUAGGGUGCACUGAGAUCAUUGAAACGCUCUGGAUUUGGCUCUUGGGCUGUGUCUGGUCAGCAGUGUGGGAGCACACACCUGUACUGAGCUGCAGCACCAGCAGAUGUCCCUCACACUCUGUAUUGCAGAGCCACAACCUCAGUGUGGGGCUGCUGCAGCACAGUGUGGGGUCACAGUUCUGCUUUGUGCCCUGGUUUGGAAUCACACAGUUCUGGUUUGUGCCCUGGUGUAGGCUCACAUGGUUAUGGUUUGUACCCCAGUUGUAGGCUCACAUGGUUAUGGUUUGUACCCCAGGAUGAAGGAUGCUGGGGUACCUGCAUCGUCUGGUGGUGCUGCUGCCCCUACAUGCUGGGCAUGACGUUGGAGGGCUCUAACAACAGCCAUGAGGGACCAGUGGAAGUGCUUGGCAAAGGGAAGGUGUUCCAAAGCUGAGGUCCUUGGUCCGUCUCCAGAGGUGCAGCCUGGGCUGCCCACCCCGCGCUGCCUCAUCCAGGGCUGAACUUUGUUGUGUUGCUCUGUUGGUUGUUUUUUUUUUUUUUUUUGGUUUUUUUUUCAAUUUCACAUGGCUGUAAAGAAACCCGCUUAGCUAGCAUAAACUGUGUGUGUGCAUCACGCCUAAGCCAUAUGUGGGUUAGGUCCUGAAGCGGGGUGGUACGGAACGGGCGGCCAUGCAGUCCCCUCGUACAAAGGCAGGUGUGAAUUCAGGGUUACCCAGAAGAAGUCUAGCUGAACCCAAGUGCCAGCUCCGCCUUACCUAGAGAAACAAGCAAGCCGCCGUGCCUGUUGGUUGCAGUGGAGGUCCUGGGUCACUCCUUGGUGGCUUUGGGCUCGGAUUUGUCUCCGGGGUUGCCGACGACUCCUGGCUGCGAUUCACGGUGUUGUGAGAAGGGCUGAGGGCACGGCGCGGCGCGGGGACCUCCGCACAGAACGCCUUCGCUCCCGGCCGGUUGCGCUCCCCGACGCCGCUGGGGUGCGUUUGGACACAAGCACAACGGUGAAAGUCAAUCCGCUUUUUUCAGAUUUGUUUGGAUAAUUGCUGGAUUUUCAUUCAAUCAAACUCUUUUUUCUAAUCUAAACCACUAAGGGCUCAAUUCUUUAGCAAGGUGCGUUCGUGUCCGACUCCUGACGGCAGCUGGAUCUCACUGCAACUGCUACAGAUCCACCCGAGAGAAUACCGGAGCUCACGCGAUCGUCACCGCUGCAGUGAACGGACACCAAUGGGAUCCGCUGCGUCCUCCCCUCCCGGCCACCGCCGCGUCUCAGUGCCACGCCAGCUUUGCAAGAAGGACUUCGUCCCUCCUGGGGAACCCCGCGGGGUUGGGCCGGGUGGGCGCCUCGGGCCCAGGAGAGGCGGCCGCUUCGCCUUCGCUCCUCGCUGCGCCGCUGCCCUACGGACUGGUGUGGACUUCCAGCGCCGCAGGCGUCGCUCCCGCCCGGCGUCCCCUUCCCAUAGUGUUGCAUUCAGCGUUUUGUCUCUGUUUCUGUCUUCACUUCCGAGAGGAUCCGAGUUGGUACAGACCUGUACAGUAUGCACAUUUUGUGAUUUGUACAAUCCCCCUGGUUGCCAUCCUUCGAGACACUUGCUGGGAAGAUCUUUAAGACACUUAAUUUUCCUUUAGCUUUUCUAUAAUUCCGAUGUAAAGGACUUCUCUGUACAGUAUAUUAUUCAAUGCAUGUUCUGUUCUCUCUACUGAUGAUAUAUUGAACACCACACAGUUGUGACAUUGUGCAGUGGGGAGAACAACCCCUGCGGACAGCGGAGGCCUUCGCCUCUCAUGUAUAAGGAAAGAAGAAAACAUAUUUUUUCCUUUGCUGUAUUUGCUUGAGCAGAGUUUUCUUGUCUGUACAUGUGAGCUGUGAGAUAGAUGUGAAAAGUUCAAAAGAAUGCAUUUUCCCCCCCUCACCCCAAUGUAUACAGAUUGUAAUCUGUACAAUGAAAACUGUAUGUAUGAAAAAAAAAAAAUGUACUUAUUUAUAAAUGGUUAACACU